rnacentral:rRNA from 1 species
UACGGAGGGUGCAAGCGUUAAUCGGAAUUACUGGGCGUAAAGCGUGCGUAGGUGGUUGAAUAAGUUAUCUGUGAAAUCCCCGGGCUCAACCUGGGCAGGUCAGAUGAUACUGUUUAACUCGAGUAUGGGAGAGGGUAGUGGAAUUUCCGGUGUAGCGGUGAAAUGCGUAGAGAUCGGAAGGAACACCAGUGGCGAAGGCAGCCUCCUGGGCCAACACUGACGCUCAUGCACGAAAGCGUGGGGAGCAAACAGG